UUACACAUGCAAGUCGAGGGGAAACGACAUCGAAAGCUUGCUUUUGAUGGGCGUCGACCGGCGCACGGGUGAGUAACGCGUAUCCAACCUGCCCACCACUUGGGGAUAACCCUGCGAAAGUAAGACUAAUACCCAAUGAUAUCUCUAGAAGACAUCUGAAAGAGAUUAAAGAUUUAUCGGUGAUGGAUGGGGAUGCGUCUGAUUAGCUUGUUGGCGGGGUAACGGCCCACCAAGGCGACGAUCAGUAGGGGUUCUGAGAGGAAGGUCCCCCACAUUGGAACUGAGACACGGUCCAAACUCCUACGGGAGGCAGCAGUGAGGAAUAUUGGUCAAUGGACGAGAGUCUGAACCAGCCAAGUAGCGUGCAGGAAGACGGCCCUAUGGGUUGUAAACUGCUUUUAUAAGGGAAUAAAGUGAGUCUCGUGAGACUUUUUGCAUGUACCUUAUGAAUAAGGACCGGCUAAUUCCGUGCCAGCAGCCGCGGUAAUACGGAAGGUCCGGGCGUUAUCCGGAUUUAUUGGGUUUAAAGGGAGCGUAGGCCGGAGAUUAAGCGUGUUGUGAAAUGUAGACGCUCAACGUCUGCACUGCAGCGCGAACUGGUCUUCUUGAGUACGCACAA
rnacentral:rRNA from 1 species